rnacentral:tRNA from 1 species
GGGGUUGUGGCUCAGUGGUAGAGCAUUCUCCCAGCACAUGCAAGGCCCUGGGUUCAAUCUUCAGCACCACA